rnacentral:sRNA from 1 species
AAAAAUAUUAUUAAAAAGAAAAAGAACAAUUUGAUUUUUAGUUAUCACAUGACGGAUUUAUAUGGCGAGAUGGGUUUAGAGGAGACGAGUUUACAUGGUAGGACGAGUUUGGAUGAGACGAGUUUAUUUGGUGCUAUGAGUUUAGAUGGGACAAAUUUGGAUACCACGGUGUACUCCUAGAAUUAACAAUUA